rnacentral:rRNA from 1 species
GAUGAACGCUGGCGGCGUGCCUAAUACAUGCAAGUCGAGCGAACAGACGAGGAGCUUGCUCCUCUGACGUUAGCGGCGGACGGGUGUGUAACACGUGUAUAACCUACCUAUCAUACUGGUAUAACUUCGGGAAACCGGAUCUAAUACCGGAUAACAUGUUGAACCGCAUGGUUCAACAGUGAAAUUCGGUUUUUCUGUCUCUUAUCGCUGGUUCCGCGCCGCAUUAGCUAGUUGGUAAGGUAACGGCUUACCAAGGCAACGAUGCGUAGCCGACCUGAGAGGGUGAUCGGCCACACUGGAACUGAGACACGGACCAGACUCCUACGGGAGGCAGCAGUAGGGAAUGUUCCGCAAUGGGCGAAAGCAUGACGGAGCAACGCCGCGUGAGUGAAGAAGGUCUUCGGAUCGUAAAACUCUGUUAUUAGGGAAGAACAAAUGUGUAAGUAACUAUGCACGUCUUGACGGUACCUAAUCAGAAAGCCACGGCUAACUACGUG